CAGCGCCAACAUCUACUCUACUGCUUUUGAGCCAUAGAACUUCUUUCCAGCUACCAUUUCUGUUCAUAUUCCAUCAACUGGACCCUGUGAUCUGCUGUUCUUGGAGGUCUAGCAGAUGAUCAUGGAAAGUCCUGGCUGAACUUUAUCCAAAAAGGAGAGGGAGGAAUGAUGGUUUACCUUGAUUGCCAGCUUGUGUGGAUUGAGAAUUUCCAAUGUACCUGUGAAGCCAUUUCCAGGAUAGAAUGUUUAUGGUGCAGAUGCCAACCUGGACCUUUGGUGGUGCUGCAACAGUAAGUUUCAAGAACAAAACUGAGAUCAAACAUACCUGAAAAAAAAAUAGAUUUUUCAGUAAAGAAACACAUUUAAAUUUGGGACCAAUGUGUUGAGCCUGGACUUCUGAACAGCUGAGAGCUGUGAAGACUGGAGAAUCUCAAACAGAGAUUGAAUGUGCUUCACAUUAUGCAAUAGACAUGAACUCAGAGUGGAGUCCAGAUCUGAGCUCCUGUGGUUUAAGAAGAUAUACGGUGUCAAGUUAAAAUUGCUGUGGUGAAUAUUGCUUUCCAAACUGAGUGGAUUUGAAGUCUUCUAGAAGAUUUGCAAAACCUUUCUGUUUUUUGUGAGAUUAUAUUCUGAGAGCAUUAACUAAGGCUCCACAAAAAUGAGCCACUCAGCACCUCAGAAUUCUCCCUGAAACCUGAUGAAGUUUAAGAAGCAAAUGAUGAUGGAAUCUCCAGCUCUGAAGUUAAGAUGAGCCGAUCCUACUAUCUGCUUUUUACCUGGAGCUUUCCAGAUUACCCGUCUCUCAGUGGAUGCCACUAACCUUUCUUUCAAAAUGACUUGCCAAAUGCUUUACUUCCUUAGUACAAUCUUCAGAUUUCCAGAGUCAACACGAAGUUCUCAUGUAAUCCCAAUACAACCUUCAUUUUUCUAUUGUGCCUCUC